GCAGUCGAACGGUAGCACAGAGGAGCUUGCUCCUUGGGUGACGAGUGGCGGACGGGUGAGUAAUGUCUGGGAAACUGCCUGAUGGAGGGGGAUAACUACUGGAAACGGUAGCUAAUACCGCAUAAUGUCGCAAGACCAAAGCGGGGGACCUUAGGGCCUCGCACCAUCGGAUGUGCCCAGAUGGGAUUAGCUUGUAGGUGAGGUAAUGGCUCACCUAGGCGACGAUCCCUAGCUGGUCUGAGAGGAUGACCAGCCACACUGGAACUGAGACACGGUCCAGACUCCUACGGGAGGCAGCAGUGGGGAAUAUUGCACAAUGGGCGCAAGCCUGAUGCAGCCAUGCCGCGUGUAUGAAGAAGGCCUUCGGGUUGUAAAGUACUUUCAGCGGGGAGGAAGGCAGUCGUGUUAAUAGCACGAUUGAUUGACGUUACCCGCAGAAGAAGCACCGGCUAACUCCGUGCCAGCAGCCGCGGUAAUACGGAGGGUGCAAGCGUUAAUCGGAAUUACUGGGCGUAAAGCGCACGCAGGCGGUCUGUCAAGUCGGAUGUGAAAUCCCCGGGCUCAACCCGGGAACUGCAUUCGAAACUGGCAGACUAGAGUCUUGUAGAGGGGGGUAGAAUUCCAGGUGUAGC
rnacentral:rRNA from 1 species